rnacentral:rRNA from 1 species
UACACUCCUACGGGAGGCAGCAGUGGGGAAUAUUGGACAAUGGGCGCAAGCCUGAUCCAGCCAUGCCGCGUGAGUGAUGAAGGCCCUAGGGUUGUAAAGCUCUUUCACCGGUGAAGAUAAUGACGGUAACCGGAGAAGAAGCCCCGGCUAACUUCGUGCCAGCAGCCGCGGUAAUACGAAGGGGGCUAGCGUUGUUCGGAUUUACUGGGCGUAAAGCGCACGUAGGCGGACUAUUAAGUCAGGGGUGAAAUCCCGGGGCUCAACCCCGGAACUGCCUUUGAUACUGGUAGUCUUGAGUUCGAGAGAGGUGAGUGGAAUUCCGAGUGUAGAGGUGAAAUUCGUAGAUAUUCGGAGGAACUCCAGUGGCGAAGGCGGCUCACUGGCUCGAUACUGACGCUGAGGUGCGAAAGCGUGGGGAGCAAACAGGAUUAGAUACCCUAGUAGUCCCAUG